CGUGGGAUAGCGUGAAUGAUUUCAUCGUACUUUGGGUCAGGUCUUGGGAGGUUGUCGAGGUAGGUGAGUUGCUGGGUUUCUUCUAGUAGAGCGGCGGUGGCGAAGCGGCGGAGGUGAUUAUGGAGAAGGGUUUGAUUCAAAAGUGAGCGUCGGAUCAGCAUUUGAUCUGUGAAGCGCAGUGAGAGGUGUUGAGGUCGGAUCAGCAUUUGAUCUGUGAAGCGCGGUGAGAGGGGUUGAGGUCAAGUGAGUUGGAUUGGGGGUUAAGGACGGUUUUGAGGUUGAGCUGUGGGCUGUGGGCUGUGGAGGGAGGGGGAGGGAGAGGGAGAGGAGUAUUUUGGCACAGAGUAUUAGAGAUACAGAAGGUCUGAUGUGGUAAAGAGUGCAAAAAUUUGGGCCCAUUAUGAAGUUGGUAUUUUAUUGGG
rnacentral:lncRNA from 1 species